GGCCUUUUGAGUAUAAUUUAAGGUCUGACCUGCCCAAUGAGGAUUUAAAUGGCCGCGGUAGCUUGACCGUGCAAAGGUAGCAUAAUCAUUAGUUUUUUAAUUGAAAGCUGGUAUGAAGGGUUGGAUGAGAGAAUGACUGUCUCUAUUUAAAUUUUUUAGAAUUUUAUUUUUAAGUAAAAAAGCUUAAAUUUGUUUGGAAGACGAGAAGACCCUAUAGAGUUUUAUUUAUAGGACUAUUUAAGGGUUUAGUAUUUAAUAAAAUAGAUAGUUUUAUAAAUUUGAUUGGGGUGAUUGAAAAAUUUAAUAAACUUUUUUUUUAUUAUUACAUUGAUAUGUGAGUUUAUGAUCCUUUUUAAAGAUUAGAAGAUUAAAUUACCUUAGGGAUAACAGCGUAAUUUCUUUAGAGAGAUCUAAUCGAAAAAGAAGAUUGCGACCUCGAUGUUGGAUUAAAAUUGAAUUUUGGUGUAGAAGCUGAAAGUUUGGGUCUGUUCGACCUUUAAAAUUUUACAUGAUCUGAGUUUAGACCGGCGUGAG
rnacentral:rRNA from 1 species